GACGAACGCUGGCGGCGUGCUUAACACAUGCAAGUCGAACGGAAAGGCCCUGCUUUUGUGGGGUGCUCGAGUGGCGAACGGGUGAGUAACACGUGAGUAACCUGCCCUUGACUUUGGGAUAACUUCAGGAAACUGGGGCUAAUACCGGAUAGGAGCUCCUGCUGCAUGGUGGGGGUUGGAAAGUUUCGGCGGUUGGGGAUGGACUCGCGGCUUAUCAGCUUGUUGGUGGGGUAGUGGCUUACCAAGGCUUUGACGGGUAGCCGGCCUGAGAGGGUGACCGGCCACACUGGGACUGCGAUACGGCCCAGACUCCUACGGGAGGCAGCAGUGGGGAAUAUUGCACAAUGGGCGGAAGCCUGAUGCAGCAACGCCGCGUGCGGGAUGACGGCCUUCGGGUUGUAAACCGCUUUCGCCUGUGACGAAGCGUGAGUGACGGUAAUGGGUAAAGAAGCACCGGCUAACUACGUG
rnacentral:rRNA from 1 species